rnacentral:misc_RNA from 1 species
GAUGAAGACGUAGCGAAAUGCGAUAAGUAGUGUGAAUUGCAGAAUUCAGUGAAUCAUCGAAUCUUUGAACGCACAUUGCGCCCCUUGGUAUCCCGAGGGGCAUGCCUGUUCGAGCGCCAUUUCACCACUCAAGCCUGGCUUGGUGUUGGGCGACGUCCUCUUUGGGGACGCGCCUCGAAACGCUCGGCGGCGUGGCACCGGCUUUAAGCGUAGCAGAAUCUUUCGCUUUGGAAGUCGGGGCCCCGUCUGCCGGAAGACCUGCUCGCAAGGUUGACCUCGGAUCAGGCAGGGAUACCCGCUGAACUUAAGCAUAUCAAUAAGCGGAGGA